AUUUCAAGGGACGCUAGAACUUUGGAUAUUUUUCGAGAAUAUUUUUUCUUCAGGCUUUAGAAAAUUAGAAUAGAAUACACCUUAAACCUUCAUACACUAUUCAGAAAAUUCUCUUCAACUCGUUCCUUCUGAGUGAUUUUUCUUUAACAAUCGAUGCAAGUUCUGGGUUGUUUUAGAGAUAUAUUGAUGUAUCCAUCUUCACUCAAAAGCUGAGAAAUAAUAUCUAUGUACACUCGAGAUUGUGGCUGAUAAUGAAGACAAUAAUACUUUUAUUUCAAUUCCAUAUCACAACUGUUAUUCAUUUUUUUGUAGUGUUUUUGGUGUUGUAAUGAAUAUGAACAUGUAUUAAUUAUGGAUUGUCUCAGGACUAUGCCUUUAAUUCGUUUAAGUUCCAGUAUAUUUAAAGAUAGUCUGGUCAAAUUUACUUAGUGUUGUAAUUUGAGCUGUGGUAGAGGUUUAACAACUGAACACGUAAAUACUCUCGAUGAUGAGUACUUCAAA